rnacentral:rRNA from 1 species
GACGAACGCUGGCGGCGUGCUUAACACAUGCAAGUCGAACGGUAAGGCCCUUCGGGGUACACGAGUGGCGAACGGGUGAGUAACACGUGGGUGAUCUGCCCUGCACUUCGGGAUAAGCCUGGGAAACUGGGUCUAAUACCGGAUAGGACCCUGGGAUGCAUGUCCUGGGGUGGAAAGCUUUUGCGGUGUGGGAUGGGCCCGCGGCCUAUCAGCUUGUUGGUGGGGUGAUGGCCUACCAAGGCGACGACGGGUAGCCGGCCGGAGAGGGUGACCGGCCACACUGGGACUGAGAUACGGCCCAGACUCCUACGGGAGGCAGCAGUGGGGAAGAUUGCACAAUGGGCGCAAGCCUGAUGCAGCGACGCCGCGUGAGGGAUGCCGGCCUUCGGGUUGUAAACCUCUUUCAGCACCGACGAAGCGCAAGUGACGGUAGGUGCAGAAGAAGGACCGGCCAACUACGUGCCAGCCGCCGCCGUAA